rnacentral:lncRNA from 1 species
CGGCAUAUCUGCAGAAGGACGACAGAUGGUCAGUACCGUAAAGAAGAAAGGAAAAGAAGAAAAAGGGCAAGAAAAAGGAAAAACCGACCUAGGCGGGGGACCGGGCUGAGGCCGGCGUCGUACAGGGCCUGCUCGGUGACAAGCUCACUCUGCUUCGGCAUCGAGAUGUCCUUCAGCCGGUGAAAGUCCUCCCGAUCUUCAGCCUCCACCUGACUGUUCUCGUUCGGCUCAGUUCGGGGAUUCUCCCAACGGAUAGGGAACCCCC